UGGCAAGGUGAAGUAAGAGGCAGAACUUCUUUGGAGUUAAUAAAAGACGAGAACAAAAAAUCCUGCUGGAACAAAACUCAUCAAAUGCCAUUUCAUAAGGUACAUCCCAGUGGAAACAGGACUUCUUCGGCUAUGCCUUUGAAAGUAAUGCAACCAUGACAGCGGAUGGAAAUGCAUGCAGAGUGACAAGGUGAUGGCAGAGCAAUAUGCUGAUUUUGGCCCAAAGGUUCAUCAGGAAGCUGUAUUUGUUUACUAUCAAAUUAUGAACCAAGACAGCUGCUACCUGUGAAACAUGGAUCUCCUGUUCUUAUUUGCCAGAAUCUUCAGCAGGAAUCAUUAUGAUCCAACUCAGAUAUCCAUUGACUGUUUCAGUUUAAGAUUGGCAUGUGAGAUGAUGAGCAAAUGCAUCUGAAAC